ACGCUCGACACCUACGGCAGCAGUGGGGAAUAUUGCACAAUGGGGGAAACCCUGAUGCAGCGACGCCGCGUGAGCGAAGAAGUAUUUCGGUAUGUAAAGCUCUAUCAGCAGGGAAGAAAAUGACGGUACCUGACUAAGAAGCACCGGCUAAAUACGUGCCAGCAGCUGCGGUAAUCUGGAGCGGGCUGGCAAGGC
rnacentral:rRNA from 1 species